rnacentral:misc_RNA from 1 species
GAUGAAGAAACGCAGCGAAAUGCGAUAAGUAAUGUGAAUUGCAGAAUUCAGUGAAUCAUCGAAUCUUUGAACGCACAUUGCGCCCCCUGGUAUUCCGGGGGGCAUGCCUGUUCGAGCGUCAUUUCAACCCUCAAGCUCUGCUUGGUAUUGAGUCCAUGUCAGCAAUGGCAGGCUCCAAAAUCAGUGGCGGCGCCGCUGGGUCCUGAACGUAGUAAUAUCUCUCGUUACAGGUGCUCGGCGUGCUUCUGCCAAAACCCCAAUUUUUCUAUGGUUGACCUCGGAUCAGGUAGGGAUACCCGCUGAACUUAAGCAUAUCAAUAAGCGGAGGA